CGCCACGAGAACGAGGAGGAGACUCCGCGCCUCCGCCAUGAUGAUUUCUUCCCCCUGCAACAAGAGAGAAGUAGCAGCCAUGUUGUCAUCGCUGAAGUCAAGAGUAAACAACCGCAAAUGAUGCACGUGGCGUGACGUCACUUCAGGAGGCGUGGUUAAGUGCCCUUGUACGGAGGGGUCAAUUAAGUGCGUUAAUUGCCAGUUUCGUGGCUGUGAGAAAACAUUCCACAGGCUGACGGCUUUUCGUGAAAAGCGAUGUCAAUAUUUUCCCAAACUUCAUCAGUGGAUAAGCAAGAAAACACAUUUUCUACCCGCGCCCACCACAUCAGUCGCCGACUGGUGGAGGAACUCUUUGGAAUGUCAUGUGCGUGGCGGGUGUCAGAAAGAGAUGAAGAAGAAAGAAAGAGGAGCUCCGGGUCAAUGUGACAGGAUUAUCAAUUGAGUUCUUACUCAAGAAGGACCACAGGAGAUUCAUUGCAGCUGCUCUCGUCUGCUCAAACCCUCCAGCAGACCCAGACACAGAACCGAUCCCGUACCCGGCCCACGCCAGAGUACCAUCUGGAGAACAGAUGUGGUCUCGGCCACUUCCUCUUUGUCUCAUCCAAAACUGAACGCCACCUUUUCAGCUUGUUACUGUAAGUGACAAAUGAUUUAUUGACACACACCGAAGUCAAACUGCGCCUUGGACCGGUUUUGAUACUUCUGGACUUCGGCUGACUUAUGAAGUCGGGUCAAUUUUUACACGGCAUGCUCGCACCACCCACCAUUAGUCUUAUUCUUGGCUGCACACAUUUUACACAAAGUCCACUCUCUCACUUUCAUGACUUUAUUAUUAUGACUACAGUAACAUAUUAUUAAUCCAUUACUAUGACUACAUGAUUAUUAGGAAUACAUUGAUAUUAGGACUGCAGUACACUUAUAUAAUGACAAUGUUGCUAUUGUGACUACAUUAUUAUCAUUAUUAUCACAAAAGCAUUGAUAUUAUAAUGACCCAAUGAAUACUACUGAGCCAACGUUAGUAUUAUGACGAUCACAACAAAGUUAAAAUACUUUGAUGUUAUUUUAUUAGUAAUUGAGACUGCAUGAGUACCACUAUGCCUACCUUAUUAUAAUGACUAUACUAUUAUCCCUAUGGCCACAUGAGUGUAUAAAUACAUUUACAUUAUGACUACAUUCAUAUUAUACUAUGACUAUACAAAUUAUGGUAUGACUACACUAAAAUUCGACUAGAUUAGUGUUUUUUUUUUACCACUUGAAUACUUUUCCAGUAACAUUAAUACAGUUGGGUUGUUUUGUCAAUUAUCCACAGACUUGAACAAU